rnacentral:lncRNA from 1 species
UGGAGGUGUAGAAAGAAAUAGUCCCUUACAAGAUAUUUAGUAGGGUAAUAUUGGAUCAUCGGGUAAAAUUGCAGUGAACAAACUCUCAAAUUACAUUUGAGCAAAGACUUUGAUGGUCCAACUUACUACCAGGAAACCAAUCCAAUCAAACUUAUGGGCCCAAUUACGUUGGGCCAAGCAAACGUGAUUUUUAGAACUUGGCC